UACGUAGGGUGCAGGCGUUAAUCGGAAUUACUGGGCGUAAAGCGUGCGCAGGCGGUUUGUUAAGACAGAUGUGAAAUCCCCGGGCUUAACCUGGGAACUGCGUUUGUUACUGGCAAGCUGGAGUGUGGCAGAGGGGGGUGGAAUUCCAAGUGUAGCAGUGAAAUGCGUAGAUAUUUGGAGGAACACCGAUGGCGAAGGCAGCCCCCUGGGCUAACACUGACGCUCAUGCACGAAAGCGUGGGGAGCAAACAGG
rnacentral:rRNA from 1 species